rnacentral:rRNA from 1 species
UCGGGAAUUUUGGGCAAUGGGGGAAACCCUGACCCAGCAACGCCGCGUGAAGGAUGAAGUAUUUCGGUAUGUAAACUUCGAAAGAAUAGGAAGAAUAAAUGACGGUACUAUUUAUAAGGUCCGGCUAACUACGUGCCAGCAGCCGCGGUAAUACGUAGGGACCAAGCGUUGUUCGGAUUUACUGGGCGUAAAGGGCGCGUAGGCGGCAUGACAAGUCACUUGUGAAAUCUCUGGGCUUAACCCAGAACGGCCAAGUGAUACUGUCGCGCUAGAGUGCAGAAGGGGCAAUCGGAAUUCUUGGUGUAGCGGUGAAAUGCGUAGAUAUCAAGAGGAACACCUGAGGUGAAGACGGGUUGCUGGGCUGAUACUGACGCUGAGGCGCGAAAGCCAGGGGAGCAAACGGGAUUAGAUACCCACGUAGUCCCUGAGCGGGCUGGCAAGGCGCAU